CUGAACUAGUAAUUUUGUUUUGUGGACUUUACAUGUGAGAUUUCUCAGACCAGUCGCACAGCAAAGAUGCAUUCGGCACCAAGGGGCAGCUGGGCCCUGCUGGGGCUGCAGCUGAACAGGGGACAUGGCCCAGCCAGCAAAUUUUCCAGUUCCUAUGAAAUGAAAACUAUGAAGCAUUCACUUCCAUGUGAAUUCCAGGUAGGCUAUUUAACUAAAAUUAGCUUGCAAUAAAAUUCUUGGACACCAACGUUUAAAUUUCCAGUGAACCCAGCAGUGCAUCAUCACCUUUCACUACAGAAUCCCCUGGGAAUAAACUCAAAGAGCCAAACCAGAAAAUGCCCCAGCUCUGGUGCUGUGGGCAGCCUGCCCUCAGGAUUAGCAGCACCUGGGCUCGUGCCGAGGCACCGUUAAGCACAGAAUAAAUUAAUUUACCCAUCUGGGUUUAAGAGCUUAUGCAGUCCUCUGACAUGUUCCGUACCGUGGUGCUGCCAGCCCGGCUGGUUUCCCUCAGCCCGUUUCUGACAGUGAGCCACGAAACUUCAGCCACCUCGACUUUAAAUAUUUAUACUUGGAUCUGAAAGCCCGUUCAAAUCUGAUGUGUGUUGUACUCCCUGGGCUCUGCAAUUAAACGUGAUUAGGACUUUUCAGCCUGGCACAGUCCCCGCCGCGCUGCCCCAUGCACGGCUGCGUCCCCAGCCCUCACACCCACCCCGGGGCCCAGACAGGGCACUGGCGAGUUAAACAGCCUUCUUCCCCAGCCCGAUACAAUAAAUCAGGCAUUUUAUGGCUGCAGAAGUCAUGAGAGGACGGGCACACCGAGCCUGCAGAUGGAGACCAGACGGGAGGAAGGGAAGGCUUGGUGCCUGCGGUAAUCACGCGGAUCAAUGGCACUCAGGUUUCUGCAGCCCGUCCUGGGCCCUGCUCCCGACUGCUGCUGAUUUAUGGGCAGGAGCCAGCAGACACAACCCGACCCUCACGGCUCCCCGAGCCAGCUCCUGCUCGGCCAUUUACCAUCUCAGCUUCCCCACAGCCUCCUCCCACCUACGUGGGGGGCCCCUGGGACACGCUGGGCACUUCAGCCCCUGGCUACAUCCCUGCGAGUCACAAAAGAGCAGGGGAUGCUCCAGGUCCAGGUACCCUUUGGCUGACCUUUGGCUUUGCUUCAUGCCUGUUCUCCUUCUCAAACCCAGGCCUCAGGCACGGGGCAAGGUUUUCCUGGGAGGGGACAAACCACCUCAGCUUCUUCCUCAGAGCCACUCCUGUGGACGGGGCUGGUGUCCCCAGGCAGCAGCUCCCACGGGUGGCAGCGUGCAUUGCCAGCCCGGCCCCUUCCAGAGAUCAGAUGGACGUGCAGAACCAGCACACAGCCAUUAGCAUUCAAACAAACAUAGGAGGUUUGUUUCACACACUGUAACUAACAGUCGGAAAUAAAAUUGUGUAAUAAAAGGAAUGAACA
rnacentral:lncRNA from 1 species